GACGAACGCUGGCGGCGUGCUUAACACAUGCAAGUCGAACGGAGUGGCGAACGGGUGAGUAACACGUGGGUGACCUGCCCUGCACUUCGGGAUAAGCCUGGGUAACUGGGUCUAAUACCGGCUAGGGUGGGAUGGGCCCGCGGCCUAUGCGCUUGUUGGGGGGGUAAUGGCCUACCACGGCGGCGACGGGUAGCCGGCCUGAGAGGGUGGACGGCCACAUUGGGACUAAGGCAGGGCGCAGAGGGCUACGGGGGGCAGCAGGGGGGAAUAUUGCACAAUGGGGGGAAGUCUGAGGCAGAGACGCCGGGUGGGGGAUGACGGCCUUGGGGUUGGAAACUCCUUUCACCAUCGACGCGGUAGAUGGAGAAGAAGCACCGGCUAACUACGUGCCAGCAGCCGCGGUAAUAC
rnacentral:rRNA from 1 species